CCUUGAUCUUCUGAGAAG
rnacentral:snRNA from 1 species